rnacentral:misc_RNA from 1 species
UUUCUGAAGACGUCAACUAUUUUUGUUAGAUAUAGUUGGCUCAAUCAGAUAGCUAGCUUUAAAAAAUCUUCUUAAGAGAUUUGUUCACUGCUCGCAUAAUAAUUUCAGGCUGGAGGGCCUGAUUCCUUAAAGCUCAAUCAGAAUGGAUAUGAUAAUCCUAUAUUUUAAUGCAUCUUUAUAAUCAACAGAAUGAAGAGAUGGUCUGGUGGUGUUCUUCUUGC